rnacentral:tRNA from 1 species
GCCGGAGUGGUGGAAUUUGGUAGACACAAGGGACUUAAAAUCCCUCGGGGAGAAAUCUCCGUGCCGGUUCAAGUCCGGCCUUCGGCACCA